UACGUAGGUGGCAAGCGUUGUCCGGAUUUACUGGGCGUAAAGAGCGCGCAGGCGGUCGUUCAAGUCGCGUGUGAAAGCCCCCGGCUCAACUGGGGAGGGUCACGCGAUACUGAUCGACUCGAAGGCAGGAGAGGGUAGUGGAAUUCCCGGUGUAGUGGUGAAAUGCGUAGAUAUCGGGAGGAACACCAGUGGCGAAGGCGGCAUCCUGGACCGGUAUUGACACUGAUGAGCGAAAGCCAGGGGAGCAAACGGGG
rnacentral:rRNA from 1 species